rnacentral:lncRNA from 1 species
CCGUUCUUCUUUUCCUCAUCUCUUUCUCUCUCUAGAUUAGUCUCUCUCUAAACUCUUGGAAGGUGGAAGAAUGGAAGUAGUGAAAAAAUGGGAGGAAGGGCCCCUAUUUAUAGAAAAUGGGGGCCGUUAGAUUUGUACCAAGUGGCGAAAUUCAGUGAAGAGAGAGAGUGUUGAAAUAAAAAAAUGCUUGAUUUAAUGCAACACAAAAAACAGAGGAGAAAUUCCCUCCAUAGGCGGCGACAACUAUCUGAGGCAGCAGCGUG